rnacentral:rRNA from 1 species
UACGGGGGGGGCAAGCGUUGUUCGGAAUUACUGGGCGUAAAGGGCUCGUAGGCGGCCAACUAAGUCAGACGUGAAAUCCCUCGGCUUAACCGGGGAACUGCGUCUGAUACUGGAUGGCUUGAGUUUGGGAGAGGGAUGCGGAAUUCCAGGUGUAGCGGUGAAAUGCGUAGAUAUCUGGAGGAACACCGGUGGCGAAGGCGGCAUCCUGGACCGAUACUGACGCUGAGGAGCGAAAGCGUGGGUAGCGAACAGG